rnacentral:tRNA from 1 species
CGGGGCGUAGCGAAGCCUGGUAUCGCGGCUGGUUUGGGACCAGUAGAUCGCAGGUUCAAAUCCUGCCGCCCCGACCA